GAAUUUUGGCGAGCUGGCAAUCAACAUUCUCAUAUUCGGAUGGGCCAAAGCGAACAAGAAGCCCUCUUUUGAACUGCUCCCAUGAAGGAACUCCGUGGAAAGUUUCAUACCAAUCGUACCACUGGAGUGCAUCUCCCUCGAGCUAGAUUGAGGUCACUUCUAUCUUGGAUUCUUCUGGGGUUCUGUGAAAAUGGAAAAAAAUUUCUGCCUUAGAGAUCCAAUUGGUCGGAUCUCCAUCUUUCCAUCUCAAAAAUUCCAUCUUCAUGUGUGAGUAAUUUGUGUCACAAUCUUAGGGCCCUUUUCCUGUAUUUUCAUAUCUUUGCAACGUAGAACUUGAGUCUCCAUUUUGUUGAAAUUUGCUGAGGCUCUCCAGUAGGCUCUUUUUGAAAUCAUUAAGUGUUUCUUGCAGUCGGUUCUCAAUUCUGAUUUUCAAUGCUUCCAUUUGUGCUUUCACCGAGUUAUCAGUGGCCAUUGCGUAAGACUGCAAAUCUGUAAUCUCAACUCCUGUUUUUGGUGUCGAUCAAGGGCAUCAAUACUGUCGAUGCGAAGUUGCCGAGGAGGUGGACGCCAAGGGCAGUGCUGCGAUCGCUGCAUUGGAGGAAGAGUAGCUACCCUGUGUUUGUGUCACUGCGUGAGAUGAGAGCACCAAGGCUGACAGACGACGGUUGCCACUGUUGUGACCCAAGGAAGCAAUCGCCGAGCAGCCGUGUUGAGGCUGCGGUGAUGGCAACCGACAACUGCAGCAGCGGAGGCAGAACAAGAGGGAGAUGGCGUUGAAGCGGCCGGGGUUGAGACUGCAGUGGUGGCAACCGGUGGCUGCGGCAACGAUGCAGAGCAAGGGGGGCUGCAGCAACGGUGCAGAUCGAGGGGGUUGAGGUGAAGGCUGCGGUGGCUAGCAGCAGCAGUCGUUGCUGGCCGGAGCGCAGCGGCGGCGGUGGAGAAGGAGGCAGUGAGGGUCGUGGCAGGCUGGGCGGCGAGCGACGACGGUGGUUACAAUCGACGGCUACGGCAGCAGAGGGUGCCACUGUUUUUGUUGCUGCGUGGUGGUUCUGUUUUUGUCGCACCACCGAAGGAGUUGGCCGGAAGGAUCACGAGCGGUUGAGGAGAAGGCUGCGGUGGCUGGCAACACCGGUGGUCACUGGCCGGAGCGCAGCGUUGGCGGUGGAGAAAAAGGCAGCGAGACGACGCCGGGAAGUUGCGAUGCUGGAGAUGGGAAACAGGGUGCUCUGUUUCUAUCGCACCACAGCCGGAGCCGCUGGCGAUGCUGGCAACGGCGGCGCGGCGGUGAUCGUGAGGCCGAGAAGCAGCGGCAGCGGUGGAGAUGGAGGAGUCGGCGGUGUCACGGUUGGGAACAAGGGCAACCGGUGAGUUGCCCUGUUUCUGGCACUACGGAUGCAGAGCAAGGAGGAUCGGCUGCUGGGAGGCGUGCGGCGGUCGUCGCACGGUGGCCCGCAGCGGUGAUGGGUUGGCUGGUCGGCGACGGUGCUGGAGGCGCGGCUGCGAUCGACGAGGGGCUGCGGCAACGGAGGAAGCUCUGUUUCUGCAACCGCUGCAACGAGGGCCUGCGGCAACCGGCCGCUGCGGCUACGACCCAAGGGGGUGGGGGCACGGCUAGGGUUGCGGCUGGGAGGCAGGCGGCGGUGAUCGAUCGGCCGGGAAGCAGCGACGGCGGUGGAGAAGGAGUUGCCCUGUAGCGGCGGUAGAGAAGAGGAGCAGGGCUGCGGCGGAGUGGGACGCUGGCAGCGUCGUGUCCUGGCAGCGGUGGUGGCUCGGGUGGGAGGAGGCGGUGGACUCUAGCCGGAAGUGGGGCAGAGUCGGUUGCUGGCCGGAGAGCAGCGACGGCCGGCGGGUGGGCUGGCCGGACGCAGGGGAAGCAGAGGUGCGUGGCUGCGGUUGC
rnacentral:lncRNA from 1 species